rnacentral:tRNA from 2 species
GCCGCCCUAGCUCAGCGUGGUAGAGCGUCGGACUGUUAAUCCGUUGGUCGCCAGUCCAAGUCUGGCGGGCGGCGCCU